rnacentral:lncRNA from 1 species
CUCUUCAAAUACGAAAAUUGGCACAGCUUGACUUUCUUCCACUGCCCUCCCAGUCACAGCUCAGACACCCACAAACUCCCACCGCAGGCUGGAGUCCCCUGGAGCCCUAACUGUGAUACCCAAAGAAAGGGUUAUGCUACGUUGCUUAGACUGACCUCAACCUCCUGGGCUCAAUCCUCCUGCCUCAACUUCCCAAGUAGCUAGAAUUACAGGGACAGAACAGAUGCUGUUUCCCAGGGGACCAAUCCCAGAAAUAUGUGGAGCUGGAGCUUCUGUCAGCCUUUUUGCUACCACGAGAGGAACCAAAUUGUGAAGACAUCUGUUCUGUUAUUAAUUUCACAUACAUCUUAAGCUCCUCAAGGCCAGAAAUGAGGCUUCAUUCACGUCGAAUUAAUGAAACAUGAUUCAGCUACAUUUUCACCCCAUCCCGGGCUCCACGUUCCUGCCGCACACACAUCAAGAAUGCUGCUAAUUUCAGCGUCUGGCUUCCAGACCCAGACGUCAAAACAACUACCUUUCAUCUCAGGAAAGCCAACUACUAUGUUGUGAGCAG